AGGCUCAGAGGCAGAGCUCUGGGGGUCUCACCAUGGCCCAGACCCCUCUUCUGUUCCUCCUGCUCUCUCUCUUCACAGGCUCUGUGGCCUCCUCUGAGCUGACUCAGGAGCCUGCAAUGUCAGUGGCCUUGGGACAGACGGCCAGGAUCACCUGCCAGGGAGAUCUCUUACGUAGCUAUUACUCAGCUUGGCACCAGCAGAAGCCAGGCCAGGCUCCUGUGCAGGUCAUGUAUCAUAACGACAAGCGGUCCUCAGGGAUUCCUGACCGAUUCUCUGGCUCCUACUCAGGGAACACAGUCACCCUGACCAUCAGUGGGGCACAGGCUGAGGAUGAGGCUGACUAUUACUGCCUGGUAUGGGAUAGUGAAAACAAGAAGUUCACAGUGACACAGGCAG